rnacentral:rRNA from 1 species
AGUGAACGCUGGCGGUAGGCCUAACACAUGCAAGUCGAACGGCAGCACAGUAAGAGCUUGCUCUUACGGGUGGCGAGUGGCGGACGGGUGAGGAAUACAUCGGAAUCUACUUUUUCGUGGGGGAUAACGUAGGGAAACUUACGCUAAUACCGCAUACGACCUACGGUUGAAAUCAGUGGAUCUUCGGACCUUGCGCGAUUGAAUGAGCCGAUGUCGGAUUAGCUAGUUGGCGGGGUAAAGGCCCACCAAGGCGACGAUCCGUAGCUGGUCUGAGAGGAUGAUCAGCCACACUGGAACUGAGACACGGACCAGACUCCUACGGGAGGCAGCAGUGGGGAAUAUUGGACAAUGGGCGCAAGCCUGAUCCAGCCAUACCGCGUGGGUGAAGAAGGCCUUCGGGUUGUAAAGCCCUUUUGUUGGGAAAGAAAAGCAGCAGGUUAAUACCCCGCUGUUCUGACGGUACCCAAAGAAUAAGCACCGGCUAACUUCGUG